AGAUGUCCUCGUUCCGUUUCCGAAGCUCCUGAAAGAUAGAGGGCUCUGGUUUCUUCAGUGUCCUGUGGGAGAGAAGGAGGGAAUGCAGCAGAUUUGCUACCUGUGGACUUCCUUCUCCUCCUCCUUCCAGAAAAUCAUCCAUUAUAACAAAGAUUAAAAAAAAAAAAGAGGAAGAAAAGAAAAAUAUUCAGUAAAUCCAUCAGCAUCUUGAAGAAAACUGCCAUUACUUGCAAUAUUCCAUAUUAUGGUCCUCGACCUCUGUAAAGAACCAGGGAAAAUAUCUUGUCAUAUCUCUUCUUUGGAGCCAAAUUUAUUUUAUAAUUUUGCAACAUUCAAUUACAAUUAUUUUGUGUUUUCCCCUCCA